GUGCUCACUUCGGCAGCACAUAUACUAAAAUACAAUACAGAGAAGAUUAGCACAGCCCCUGUGCAAGGAUGACACACAAAUUCAUGAACAUAAGAUGGAAACAAUGUCU